rnacentral:rRNA from 1 species
CGGUAGGGUGCGAGCGUUAAUCGGAAUACUGGGCGUAAAGCGUGCGCAGGCGGUUUUGUAAGACAGAUGUGAAAUCCCCCGGGCUCAACCUGGGACCUGCAUUUGUGACUGCAAGGCUAGAGUACGGUAGAGGGGGAUGGAAUUCCGCGUGUAGCAGUGAAAUGCGUAGAUAUGCGGAGGAACACCGAUGGCGAGGGCAAUCCCCUGGACCUGUACUGACGCUCAUGCACGAAAGCGUGGGGAGCAAACAGGAUUAGAUACCCUGGUAGUCCACGCCCUAAACGAUGUCAACUGGUUGUUGGGUCUUUACUGACUCAGUAACGAAGCUAACGCGUGAAGUUGACCGCCUGGGGAGUACGGCCGCAAGGUUG